CAGUCGCCGCGGGAAUACGUAGGGUGCAAGCGUUAAUCGGAAUUACUGGGCGUAAAGCGUGCGCAGGCGGUUAUAUAAGACAGAUGUGAAAUCCCCGGGCUCAACCUGGGAACUGCAUUUGUGACUGUAUAGCUAGAGUACGGCAGAGGGGGAUGGAAUUCCGCGUGUAGCAGUGAAAUGCGUAGAUAUGCGGAGGAACACCGAUGGCGAAGGCAAUCCCCUGGGCCUGUACUGACGCUCAUGCACGAAAGCGUGGGGAGCAAACAGGAUUAGAUACCCCUGUAGUCCUUGUCUCUUAUAC
rnacentral:rRNA from 1 species